AGAGUUUGAUCCUGGCUCAGGAUGAACGCUGGCGGCGUGCUUAACACAUGCAAGUCGAACGAUUAACCCGCCCUCGGGCGGUUAUAGAGUGGCGAACGGGUGAGUAACACGUGACCAACCUGCCCCUUGCUCCGGGACAACCCAGGGAAACCUCGGCUAAUACCGGAUACUCCGCGCAGCCCGCAUGGGAGGCGCGGGAAAGCCCAGACGGCAAGGGAUGGGGUCGCGGCCCAUUAGGUAGACGGCGGGGUAACGGCCCACCGUGCCCGCGAUGGGUAGCCGGGUUGAGAGACCGAUCGGCCACAUUGGGACUGAGAUACGGCCCAGACUCCUACGGGAGGCAGCAGUGGGGAAUUUUGCGCAAUGGGGGAAACCCUGACGCAGCAACGCCGCGUGCGGGACGAAGGCCUUCGGGUUGUAAACCGCUUUCAGCAGGGAAUAUAGUGAAGGUACCUGCAGAAGAAGCUCCGGCUAACUACGUGCCAGCAGCCGCGGUAAUACGUAGGGAGCGAGCGUUAUCCGGAUUCAUUGGGCGUAAAGCGCGCGUAGGCGGCCCGUCAAGCGGGGUUUCAAAUCCAGGGGCUCAACCUCUGGCCGGACCCCGAACUGGCGGGCUCGAGUGCGGUAGAGGAAGGUGGAAUUCCCAGUGUAGCGGUGAAAUGCGCAGAUAUUGGGAAGAACACCGAUGGCGAAGGCAGCCUUCUGGGCCGCCACUGACGCUGAGGCGCGAAAGCUAGGGGAGCGAACAGGAUUAGAUACCCUGGUAGUCCUAGCCGUAAACGAUGGGCACUAGGUGUGGGGGAGCAUCUCCUCCGUGCCGCAGCCAACGCAUUAAGUGCCCCGCCUGGGGAGUACGGCCGCAAGGCUAAAACUCAAAGGAAUUGACGGGGGCCC
rnacentral:rRNA from 1 species